CUUCCUUCUUCACCGAGCAAGAAGAGCAGCCACUUCUUCUUCUUCUAUUCCUUCUGCUCGAGCACCAACGUCACACCGUCUCGCUGAUAUCAGCGCCAUAAUCUACCUUCUUCUUUUUCUUAAAUCAAUUUUUCUCAUAACCCUCUUGUUUUAUCUCUACAGUAGAACCCUAGAUCCAGGAUUUCUAUUUCUUAUCUAGGGUUUCAAUUAUAGAGAUGAGCAAGAGAUUCCUUCGAUUAAUCUACAGGAUGAUGCGGAUUAAAAACAAAGUUAAUGUUCAGGUGAUGUUCUUAAUGAGAUUCGUUUGAACAUCUUGGUUAGAAAUCGACAAUUUCUUUUACAAGGUUAAGGACCCUUUCUUCUAAAUCAUUGGGAUAGUCGGAACAAUCGAUCUGAAGACUAAUAAAACAGAUUUCUUUAUUUAAAUUUUGAGGAUGGUUAAGAACCCUAACUUUGUUUUUGUUGUUUGAUAGCCAUUAGAAGGUGGACCAGCUAAAAAAUUACCUAAGUUUGAAAACCAUUGGAUACUUCAUCGUCUGUUUUGUAUAUUGGUUUCUAUGAAAAGGAAAUGGAAGGGGAUCCCGUGGUCUCUACUUGACCAGCUUUGAUAUUCUGGGAGCUUAGCAUAUUAUUAUGAAUAUGGCAACCACCUUUCUGGCGGAAUCCCUUAUCCACCAAUGCAUUUUUCCGGUGGAUCUUCACCAUAUUCCAGCGGAUCUGUGAUGGGACAAGGUGGGAUGUCAAGUGGGAUGUACCAAAUGCCCUCUAUAAUGAUAGUUUUGGUUUGGGUUUGCCAAUGAUUCAUGCUUCUAUGGCUCAAGGCCAGGGAUAUUUCAAGACGAAAAUCCUCCAAGAAAGUCAGUCAGUAAGCAUUUUUAAAGUUGUUAUGACUCGACACGCGACAAUAACUGGACUGGUUCGUUUUCCCAAUCAGCGAACAGCUUCUGUUUUUCUCAACUUUGGUCAUGAAAAAGCUUUUCAAUGAUAAGCUCAAGCCUUACAUUCCUGAUUUCAAGCUUGUGUUAGACCACUUCUGCAUACAUGCCGGUGGAAGAGCCGUUAUUGAUGAAUUGGAGAAGAACCUACAGUUGCUUCCUUUACAUCUGGAGGCUUCUAGAAUGACCCUUCACCGAUUUGGGAACCCUUCUUCGAGUUCCAUCUGGUAUGAAUUGGCUUAUAUUGAUGCCAAAGGAAGGAUGAGGUGUAAAGCAAUCUCCUAAAGGUCCCUGGGAAGAUUGCGUUGACAGGUGGUAAAUUUGUACCUCGACUACCUCAAUGACAUUCACCUUGAAACAAAAGAGGAAACAGAUAAGGAGGUAUCUGUUUUGCAUAAUUCAAAUUAUAUGUUAUCUCUUUGUUUUCUCUUUUCAGUGUCAUGAGUAUGAAUGAAUUAACGGAUGAGUACAGGAUGUCCUCGUGGUUCUUUGUUAUGGAUCAAACUUAGUAAUUUUUUUUGACUCUUUCUUUAAUCAGUUUUUCUUGCUGGCUUGCUCAAUUGUAUGAGUCACUUAAAUCGUGCUGCAAGUUUAGCUUUGUACAUAUAGUUAGUGUAGUUUGAACUUUUAUACCAUUAUUGUGUUGUUGGCUAGGUUCUUACUCUCCAGCUAUUUAGUACAACACUCUCUCUUAUAUACUAGUAAAAGUUUAAGCUUGAGUGACGCUGCUGAGGACUCUUCGAACUAAUAGUUCAAAGCUGACAAGCAGUAGACAUUGAAUUCUCACAUUCUCAAGGCUGGUGCGCGCAAUGCAUAAUUUUGUAACUGUUCUGGUUCUGGCACUGCUUUUGCAGAACUCUAGCAAUUUCUGGUGGUGUCUAAUCAUGAUUGAUGAACAACUGAAGAAGAGGGCAUCAGAUGAAGCAGUAAUCAGGAUUGCUGAGGACAAGCAGAUAUUGAAUUAGAUAAAGAAACAAGUGGAUUCAGGUAAUCUUUUCAGAGUCAUCUGCCCAUACUUCGCAGUUAUGAAUCAUCUGAAAGUUAAACUCACCAUGAACCUAAGUAUCAUUGAACAAACAUAUAUAAUGAUUCGAACAAUGUUUUCUUCCCUUUUUUUUGUAGAAUGAAUGUUUGAAUGUGUAGUAGAGUGACUUGUAUUGAAUGGAGAAUGAAUGUUUUUUUUUUUUGAAGCAUAGAGAAUGAAUG